UACGGAGGGUGCAAGCGUUAUUCGGAUUUACUGGGCUUAAAGGGUGUGUAGGCGGGCUAUUAAGUCAGUGGUGAAAUCUCCGGGCUCAACCCGGAAACUGCCAUUGAUACUAUUAGUCUUGAAUUUUGUUGAGGUAGGCGGAAUAAGUCAUGUAGCGGUGAAAUGCAUAGAUAUGACUUAGAACACCAAUUGCGAAGGCAGCUUACUAAGCAAAUAUUGACGCUGAGGCACGAAAGCGUGGGGAUCAAACAGG
rnacentral:rRNA from 1 species